rnacentral:rRNA from 1 species
AUACGGAGGAUGCGAGCGUUAUCCGGACUUAUUGGGUUUAAAGGGAGCGUAGGCGGGAGCUCAAGUCAGCGGUUAAAUGGUGCGGCUCAACCGUGCCCUGCCGUUGAAACUGGGUUUCUUGAGAGUGCAAGAGGCGGAUGGAAUUCAUGGUGUAGCGGUGAAAUGCUUAGAUAUCAUGAAGAACUCCGAUUGCGAAGGCAGUCCGCUGGGGCACGUCUGACGCUGAUGCUCGAAGGUGCGGGAAUCAAACAGGAUUAGAUACCCUGGUAGUCCGCACGGUAAACGAUGAUUACCCGCUGUCGGCGGCAGACAGUCGGCGGCCAAGCGAAAGCGAUAAGUAAUCCACCUGGGGAGUACGCCGGCAACGGUGAAACUCAAAGGAAUUGACGGGG